rnacentral:tRNA from 1 species
UGGGGUAUCGCCAAGCGGUAAGGCACCGGAUUCUGAUUCCGGCAUUCCGAGGUUCGAAU